rnacentral:rRNA from 1 species
AACAAACGCUGGCGGCGUGCCUAAUACAUGCAAGUCGAACGGGGAAAGCUUUCGGGUGAGUACUAGUGGCGCACGGGUGAGGAACGCGUGGAUAAUCUGCCUUAGAGUGGGGGAUAACUAGUCGAAAGAUUAGCUAAUACCGCAUAAGACCACAGGAACUGAGGUUCUCGGGGUCAAAGGUUUUUCGCUCUAAGAUGAGUCCGCGUAAGAUUAGCUAGUUGGUGAGGUAACGGCUCACCAAGGCGACGAUCUUUAACUGGUCUGAGAGGAUGAGCGGUCACACUGGAACUGAGACACGGUCCAGACUCCUACGGGAGGCAGCAGUAGGGAAUAUUGCACAAUGGAGGAAACUCUGAUGCAGCGACGCCGCGUGAGUGAUGAAGGCCUUCGGGUCGUAAAGCUCUGUCGCAGGGGAAUAACACAAUGAAGGUACCCUGUAAGAAAGGAUCGGCUAACUUCGUGCCAGCCGCCGCCGUAACAC